rnacentral:rRNA from 1 species
GAUGAACGCUAGCUACAGGCUUAACACAUGCAAGUCGAGGGGCAUCAGGAAGAAAGCUUGCUUUCUUUGCUGGCGACCGGCGCACGGGUGAGUAACACGUAUCCAACCUGCCCUUUACUCGGGGAUAGCCUUUCGAAAGAAAGAUUAAUACCCGAUAGCAUAAUGAUUCCGCAUGGUUUCAUUAUUAAAGGAUUCCGGUAAAGGAUGGGGAUGCGUUCCAUUAGGUUGUUGGUGAGGUAACGGCCCACCAAGCCUUCGAUGGAUAGGGGUUCUGAGAGGAAGGUCCCCCACAUUGGAACUGAGACACGGUCCAAACUCCUACGGGAGGCAGCAGUGAGGAAUAUUGGUCAAUGGGCGUUAGCCUGAACCAGCCAAGUAGCGUGAAGGAUGAAGGCUCUAUGGGUCGUAAACUUCUUUUAUAUAAGAAUAAAGUGCAGUAUGUAUACUGUUUUGUAUGUAUUAUAUGAAUAAGGAUCGGCUAACUCCGUGCCAGCAGCCGCGGUAAUACGGAGGAUCCGAGCGUUAUCCGGAUUUAUUGGGUUUAAAGGGAGCGUAGGUGGACUGGUAAGUCAGUUGUGAAAGUUUGCGGCUCAACCGUAAAAUUGCAGUUGAUACUGUCAGUCUUGAGUACAGUAGAGGUGGGCGGAAUUCGUGGUGUAGCGGUGAAAUGCUUAGAUAUCACGAAGAACUCCGAUUGCGAAGGCAGCUCACUGGACUGCAACUGACACUGAUGCUCGAAAG